rnacentral:rRNA from 1 species
GACGUCUACGAGUUUGAUCAUGGCUCAGAUUGAACGCUGGCGGCAUGGCUAAUGCAUGCAAGUCGAACGAAAGCCCUUCGGGGCGAAAGUGGCGAAAGGGCGAGUAAUACGAUCGAACGUACCCCAAGGUGGAGGAUAGUGUCGGGAAACUGACGGUAAUACUCCAUGUGCUCUUCGGAGGAAAGCUUUGGCGCCUCGGGAGCGGCGAUCGUCCUAUCAGGUAGUUGGUGAGGUAAUGGCUCACCAAGCCGAAGACGGGUAGCGGGUGUGAGAGCAUGACCCGCCGCAUCGGGACUGAGACACUGCCCGGACUCCUACGGGAGGCUGCAGCGACGAAUCUUCCGCAAUGGGCGCAAGCCUGACGGAGCAAUGCCGCGUGUGGGACGAAGCGUCUUCGACGUGUAAACCACUGUCAGAAUCUAGGAACACUGACCAGAUUCAAAGGAAGGGCCGGCUAACCUCGUG